CGGACGGGUGAGUAAUGCUUGGGAAUCUGGCUUAUGGAGGGGGAUAACUGUGGGAAACUGCAGCUAAUACCGCGUAUUCUCUGAGGAGGAAAGGGUGGGACCUUAGGGCCACCUGCCAUAAGAUGAGCCCAAGUGGGAUUAGGUAGUUGGUGGGGUAAAGGCCUACCAAGCCUGCGAUCUCUAGCUGGUCUGAGAGGAUGACCAGCCACACUGGAACUGAGACACGGUCCAGACUCCUACGGGAGGCAGCAGUGGGGAAUAUUGCGCAAUGGGGGGAACCCUGACGCAGCCAUGCCGCGUGAAUGAAGAAGGCCUUCGGGUUGUAAAGUUCUUUCGGUAAUGAGGAAGGGAUGUUGUUAAAUAGAUAGCAUCAUUGACGUUAAUUACAGAAGAAGCACCGGCUAACUCCGUGCCAGCAGCCGCGGUAAUACGGAGGGUGCGAGCGUUAAUCGGAAUAACUGGGCGUAAAGGGCACGCAGGCGGACUUUUAAGUGAGAUGUGAAAUCCCCGAGCUUAACUUGGGAACUGCAUUUCAGACUGGGAGUCUAGAGUACUUUAGGGAGGGGUAGAAUUCCACGUGUAGCGGUGAAAUGCGUAGAGAUGUGGAGGAAUACCGAAGGCGAAGGCAGCCCCUUGGGAAUGUACUGACGCUCAUGUGCGAAAGCGUGGGGAGCAAACAGGAUUAGAUACCCUGGUAGUCCACGCUGUAAACGCUGUCGAUUUGGGGAUUGGGCUAUAUGCUUGGUGCCCGAAGCUAACGUGAUAAAUCGACCGCCUGGGGAGUA
rnacentral:rRNA from 1 species